CAUAGGUCCUUACUAGGAGGACAACAUUCAAAACCUCUCCUUCCCAUCCUAACUAGAGCAAGUCCUCAUGGGCCCUGCGAAGGAAGGAAAGGCUCCAGCUGUGGGGCAGGGUUCCGUGCUCUGAGAAAGCUCCCUGGAAGAAGCUGGCCACAGUAAGGACUGGGUGACAUGCUGAUUGGGAGUGCUUGGGGGAGGUGGGAGCUCUUGCGUGUAAUGGAUUGGAUUCACUGUGCUGCAAUCCCCUCCUGCUUAAAAGGAAAUGGCUUAGAACAGGUACCAGAAUUCAAACUGCCUGAGGAACAGAGAUGUUCAAAAGCAUUUCAGGUCAAUUUAACUGCACUUGUACUUCUCCCAAAUCUCUUCUCCACUCCACCCACCUUCACAGGAAGAAAGUGACCCUUUUCCUUAUCUCUUUGUAAAAACAAGGGCAAACAGGAGCAUGGCUCCACUUGUAGCGUGCUUAUGCUUUGGUGGCAAAUUCCUGGGAACCCACUGGCUGAAGCCACCUAGCUGCGCAAUAGGACUGCCAGGGAAUUUCGAGCACACGCCUGGAAUCCAGCUGGCUUGUGUUUAUAAGUAAUGGGCUGCCAGAAGACUUCCUCCUGAAGUACAGCCGUGUGAUUGUGUCCCUGAUGUAGGGCAAAGACCAUUCAUCUGCAAGGAUAUCUCUGGGAAAAAGAUGGAAUUCAGAAAAUGUCCUGACACAUAUUUUUUAACAUCUGGGCUUGUCGCCAGGAAUGUUCACUGCCUCAUCUCACAUUAUUUUUGCUACCAAAUAGGAAGUAAAAUCAAUAAGAAAACGUGUGACCUCCCUUCUGAAAGCGACAUAGAAUAACACACUUUUCGCCCCGAAGAAGACAUUUUUCUUCUCUAAGAGAGACCAAGUAACUUUUUUCUGAGUUGUUUGUGUGUUUUUGCUCCUGUGGGUUUCAUAUUAUAGUUCUGAAAUAAAUAUUUGGUAAUUAAUGAGCAAAAUGUUAAUUCAUUAUUUUUGCUGAAAUACAAUUUUAGUUCCAAAGAACUAAUAAAGACCUAAAGUGAAUUUAAUACUUUUAAGCUUUAAAUUCUAAUAGAUUAAAAUAUUUUGCUGAGAAUAAUUUCAUUCCUACUACUUUUUUUUUUUUUGGCGGCAGAGUUGACAGCAAAUUAGAACUCAAAUGUUAUCAUCGUUUACCAGAAACUAAAUUUUAAAAACUGAAAUUAAAAAACAAAUGAACAAAAUAGGCUGGGUGCAGUGGUUCACGUCUGUAAUCCCAGCACUUUGGAAGGCUGAGGUGGGUGGAUGGCUUGAAGACAGGAGUUUGAGACCAGCCUGGCCAACAUGGUAAAACCCCAUCUCUAUUUAAAAAAACAAAAAUUAACCAGGUGUGAUGGUACACAUCUGUACUCCCGGCUACUCAGGAGGCUGAGGCACGAGAAUUGUUUGAACCUGGAAAGUGGAGGUUGUAGUGAGCAGAGAUCGCAACACUGUACUCCAGCCUGGGUGACAGAGCAAGACUGUCUGAAAAAAAAAAUCAACAAAAUAAACAAAGAGGUAAUGGCUGACAUAUAUAUAUAUACAUAUAUAUAUACACAUAUAUAUACACAUAUACGUAUAUAUACGUAUAUACACGUAUAUACACGUAUACGUGUAUAUACGUGUAUACACGUGUAUACACGUAUAUGUGUAUAUAUACGUAUAUACAUGUAUAUACGUAUAUAUACAUAUAUACAUAUUCAUAUACGUAUAUAUACGUAUAUACAUAUUCAUAUAUGUAUAUAUACGUGUACAUAUAUAUGUAUAUAUACAUAUAUACGUACACGUAUAUAUGUAUAUAUACAUAUAUACGUACACGUAUAUAUGUAUAUAUACAUAUAUACGUACACGUAUAUAUGUAUAUAUAUACACACACAUAUGUGUGUGUAUAUAUAUAUAUAUAUAUUUUUUUUUUUUUGAGACAGAGUCUGGCUCUGUCACCCAGGCUGGAGUUCAGUGGCAUGAUCUCGGCUCCCUGCAAUCUUUCACCUCCUGGGUUCAAGUGAUUCUCCCGCCUCAGCCUCCCAAGUACUGGGACUAUAGGUAUAUGCCACCACGCCUGGCUAAUUUUUGUGUUUUUUGUAGAGAUGGGGUUUCGCCAUGUUGGCCAGGCUGGUCUCGAACUCGUGAUCUCAGGUGAUCCACCUGCCUCAUCCUCCCAAAGUGCUGGGAUUACAGGUGUGAGCCAACAUGCCCAGCCUGACUCAGGUAUAUUUUUAUAUUUCAUCAAAACUAAAGAAAAAUUGCCUAAAUGAGCUUUCUUCUAACUGCUAUGUAUUGUUUAUGCAUAUUGAGAGAACAUGGAAUGAAACAAGAAAGCUUGGAAAAUUAGAAAAGUCAAAUAAUGCUUGAAAGAUUUUUUUUUUAAAAAAAGGUCCACCAAUUACACAAUAUUAGUGAAAGAGUAUUGGUACCCAGGCCAUGAGCAGGUGCUGCACAUGUGAAUCUAUGUGAGGGUGGAAGGAGCAGGAAAUGGGAAGGUGAGGGUCUGAGACAAAGUUCAAGUAACUUGUCCUGGACGCUGACUGAUGUCCAGGAGGGAAUACGAAGUUGCCCAAGACACUGGAUCAAUAAUUAGAAUAAUCAGCCCGGCGCAGUGGCUCACACCUGCAAUCCCAGCACUUUGGGAGGCUGAGGUGGGCAGAUAACAAAGUCGGGAGUUCGAGACCAGCGUGACCAACAAGGUGAAACCCUGUCUCUACUAAAACUACAAAAAUUAGCAGGGUGUGGUGGCAGGCACCUGUAAUCCCAGUGGCUCGGGAGGCUCAGGCAAGAGAACCACUUGAACCCGGGAGGCAGAGGUUGCAGUGAGCCGAGAUCGUGCCACUGCAUUCCAGCCUGGGCCACAGAGUGAGACUCCGUCUCAGAAAAAAAAAAAAAAAAGAAAGAAAGAAAGAAAGAAAGAAAGAACUAGAAUAAUCUAUUCUGCUAUCUUCUCUGGACUACUUCUAACAAUACAGCUUCAUCCACCAAUUAGAGAUAGAAUUUAGUUAACAAAGUCAGUCAAAAAUAUCUCAAUAAAAACGUGUUUGAUGUGUUUCUAGCUUAGUGGCUGGUGUUCGGAAUCCCUUUCAUUUCUCCUCAAUUAUUGUUUCCCUCUCAGUUCUGAGGGCUUGCACAGGUCUGGAAUGGCUCAGUAUUGGUUGGUAACACUCAAACUUAUAUGUGGUUAUAGUUGUCACAGGGGAGGAAUUCUGUCAGGUGGAAGCACUUUAAUAUAACCAUGAGAAGUAUAUUUUCACAACAUCACAUUGAAUUUUGAAAAAAAAAAUUAACUUUCUUUAAAAUUAAAUGGCCCUCAAAAGAUACUCCUCUUACAAAAGGAAGGCUCAGAGUUUACAAUGUGUACAACAUUAAGCAGACCAAACACUAUUGAUUGUGGUAGAAAAAUAAACACACAAGCUGAAUCCUUGGCUCAAUUUGUUGCAGGUCUACUUCCAUAACAAGUCUUAAUGAAAGUGUCUGAGAAACUAAUUUACCUUCUCCACCACCACCAAAUUUGUGCAUGUGAAAAUGAGUUUC
rnacentral:lncRNA from 1 species